GGUCUUCUUUCGUCAACCAAUAGCGCCUAUAUUCAUUCCCGCCGGGGCAACCCGGCUAUGGCGAUAAAUGGCCGUCGUAAUAAACCUUUCGGACCCGGGGGCAGUACCCGGCGCCUCCACCAAAGCGCAAGCCCGGCUGGGCUUCGGCGGGGGCGAAAUAGGAUCGACGAGGGCGUAAAGGACGAACUUUUGCUCGGCAUGGUUCCGCCGUUAUCGGGCCAAAUCGUAGUUGCAAAUGACAACUAUGCUCCGGUUGCUCAGGCUGCGUAAGCGGUUUGAAUAACCAAGCCUACAAGCCCUAGCCGUCUUAGCAGCGGUUAGGCGGGGUUCGGAGGCACCUGGCAACAGAAGCCUCCACU
rnacentral:tmRNA from 1 species